UACGUAGGGUGCGAGCGUUAAUCGGAAUUACUGGGCGUAAAGCGUGCGCAGGCGGCCAUGCAAGACAGAUGUGAAAUCCCCGGGCUCAACCUGGGAAUGGCAUUGGAAACUGGCGGACUCGAGUGUGGCAGAGGGGGGUGGAAUUCCGCGUGUAGCAGUGAAAUGCGUAGAGAUGCGGAGGAACACCGAUGGCGAAGGCAGCCCCCUGGGCUAACACUGACGCUCAGGCACGAAAGCGUGGGGAGCAAACAGG
rnacentral:rRNA from 1 species